ACGAACGCUGGCGGCGUGCCUAAUACAUGCAAGUCGAACGCUUCUUUUUCCACCGGAGCUUGCUCCACCGGAAAAAGAGGAGUGGCGAACGGGUGAGUAACACGUGGGUAACCUGCCCAUCAGAAGGGGAUAACACUUGGAAACAGGUGCUAAUACCGUAUAACAAUCGAAACCGCAUGGUUUUGAUUUGAAAGGCGCUUUCGGGUGUCGCUGAUGGAUGGACCCGCGGUGCAUUAGCUAGUUGGUGAGGUAACGGCUCACCAAGGCGACGAUGCAUAGCCGACCUGAGAGGGUGAUCGGCCACAUUGGGACUGAGACACGGCCCAAACUCCUACGGGAGGCAGCAGUAGGGAAUCUUCGGCAAUGGACGAAAGUCUGACCGAGCAACGCCGCGUGAGUGAAGAAGGUUUUCGGAUCGUAAAACUCUGUUGUUAGAGAAGAACAAGGAUGAGAGUAACUGUUCAUCCCUUGACGGUAUCUAACCAGAAAGCCACGGCUAACUACGUGCCAGCAGCCGCGGUAAUACGUAGGUGGCAAGCGUUGUCCGGAUUUAUUGGGCGUAAAGCGAGCGCAGGCGGUUUCUUAAGUCUGAUGUGAAAGCCCCCGGCUCAACCGGGGAGGGUCAUUGGAAACUGGGAGACUUGAGUGCAGAAGAGGAGAGUGGAAUUCCAUGUGUAGCGGUGAAAUGCGUAGAUAUAUGGAGGAACACCAGUGGCGAAGGCGGCUCUCUGGUCUGUAACUGACGCUGAGGCUCGAAAGCGUGGGGAGCAAACAGGAUUAGAUACCCUGGUAGUCCACGCCGUAAACGAUGAGUGCUAAGUGUUGGAGGGUUUCCGCCCUUCAGUGCUGCAGCUAACGCAUUAAGCACUCCGCCUGGGGAGUACGACCGCAAGGUUGAAACUCAAAGGAAUUGACGGGGGCCCGCACAAGCGGUGGAGCAUGUGGUUUAAUUCGAAGCAACGCGAAGAACCUUACCAGGUCUUGACAUCCUUUGACCACCUAAGAGAUUGAGCUUCUCCUUCGGGGGCAAAGUGACAGGUGGUGCAUGGUUGUCGUCAGCUCGUGUCGUGAGAUGUUGGGUUAAGUCCCGCAACGAGCGCAACCCUUAUUGUUAGUUGCCAUCAUUUAGUUGGGCACUCUAGCAAGACUGCCGGUGACAAACCGGAGGAAGGUGGGGAUGACGUCAAAUCAUCAUGCCCCUUAUGACCUGGGCUACACACGUGCUACAAUGGGAAGUACAACGAGUCGCAAAGUCGCGAGGCUAAGCUAAUCUCUUAAAGCUUCUCUCAGUUCGGAUUGUAGGCUGCAACUCGCCUACAUGAAGCCGGAAUCGCUAGUAAUCGCGGAUCAGCACGCCGCGGUGAAUACGUUCCCGGGCCUUGUACACACCGCCCGUCACACCACGAGAGUUUGUAACACCCGAAGUCGGUGAGGUAACCUUUUGGGGCCAGCCGCCUAAGGUGGGAUAGAUGAUUGGGGUG
rnacentral:rRNA from 1 species